GCAGUUGACCGUACCGUAAUCCGACACAGGUAGGCGAGGCGAGUAGCCUAAGGGGCUCGAGUGAUUUACGGAAAAGGAACUCGGCAAAAUGACCCCGUAACUUCGGGAUAAGGGGUGCCAGUAGUAGCUGACCUAAUCAAGGGAAGGCGAGGCUGGCCGCAGAGAAUCGUCUCAAGCGACUGUUUAGCAAAAACACAGGAGCGUGCUAAGGCAUUGUCCAAGCCUACGUAUACGCUCUGACUCCUGCCCGGUGCCGGAAGGUUAAGGCAAGUCGUCAGCCGCAAGGCGAAGCGAUGAACCGAAGCCCCGGUAAACGGCGGCCGUAACGAUAACGGUCCUAAGGUAGCGAAAUUCCUUGUCGGGUAAGUUCCGACCUGCACGAAUGGAGUAACGACUUGAGAGCUGUCUCUUCCGUAAGCUCGGCGAAAUAGAAGCAUCGGUGAGGAUUCCGAUUACCCGCGACAGGACAAAAAGACCCCAUGCACCUUUACUACAACCUGUCAUUGAUUGUCGGUAUGCGCUGCGUAGCAUAGGUGGGAGCCAUUGAGACCGCGGUUUUGGCUGCGGUGGAGGCACCAGUGAAAUACCACCCUUCGUUUACUAACAAUCUCACUCAGCCGGCAACACCGGCGAGGACCGUGGCAGGCGGGUAGUUUGACUGGGGCGGUCGCCUCCUAAAGAGUACCGGAGGCGCGCAAUGGUUGGCUCAGUGCGGUCGGUAAUCGCACGUGGAGUGUAUACGCAAAAGCCAGCCUGACUGCGAGCGCUACAGCGCGAGCAGGGACGAAAGUCGGUGUAAGUGAUCCGGCGGGACCGUGUGGACGGCCCGUCGCUCAUCGGAUAAAAGGUACGCUGGGGAUAACAGGCUUAUCGCGCCCGAGAGUUCACAUCGACGGCGCGGUUUUGGCACCUCGAUGUCGGCUUGUCACAUCCUGGGGCUGGAGAAGGUCCCAAGGGUCCGGCUGUUCGCCGGUUAAAGUGGCACAUGAGCUGGGUUCAGAACGUCGUGAGACAGUUCGGUCUGUAUCCGUCGUGGGCGUGGGAGUGUUGAGGGACGUCGACCUUAGUACGAGAGGACCGGGUCGAAGCGACCGCUCGUGUACGGGCUGUUCCGCCAGGGGCAGCGCCCGGUAGCGAUGUCGCGCGAAGAUAACCGCUGAAAGCAUCUAAGUGGGAAACUUUUCCCAAGAUGAACACUCCUGGAUCUUAAGAUCCCUGUAGGGCCGUAGGAGACUACUACGUUGAUAGGCGGCAGAUGCACGGCACGUAAGUGCUUUAGUCGAGCCGUACUAAUCGCCCGUGAAGUUUGAUCUC
rnacentral:rRNA from 1 species